GGGAAUGUGGCUUAGCGGUAGAGUGCUUGCCUAGCAUGCAUGAGGCCCUGGGUUCAAAUCCUCAGUACUA
rnacentral:tRNA from 1 species